rnacentral:rRNA from 1 species
CCCUUAGAUGUUCUGGGCUGCACACGUGCUACACUGGCAGGUUCAGCGAGCUUCAUGCCCUGAUCUGAAAGGAAUGGGAAAUCUUUUCAAAACCUGCCGUGCUUGGGAUAGAUGUUUGCAAUUAUUCAUCUUCAACGAGGAUUGCCUUGUAAGCGCACGUCAUCAGCGUGCAUUGAAUACGACCCUGUAUUCUGUACACACCGCCCGUCGCUCCUACCGAUUGAACAAUCCGGUGAAUAAUUCGGACAGUCGUGCAUUAUAGUUCGCUAUUUUGCUUGUACUGGAAGUCUAGUGAACCUUAUUGUUUAGAGGAAGGAGAAGUCGUAACA